rnacentral:rRNA from 1 species
UACGAAGGGGGCUAGCGUUGCUCGGAAUCACUGGGCGUAAAGCGCACGUAGGCGGCUUCUUAAGUCAGGGGUGAAAGCCCGGGGCUCAACCCCGGAACUGCCUUUAAGACUGCAUCGCUUGAAUCCGGGAGAGGUGAGUGGAAUUCCGAGUGUAGAGGUGAAAUUCGUAGAUAUUCGGAAGAACACCAGUGGCGAAGGCGGCUCACUGGACCGGUAUUGACGCUGAUGUGCGAAAGCGUGGGGAGCAAACAGG